UAGAUGGGGCAUGUUGGUCGGUGUGGGACUAGUGUAGAUGGGGCAUGUUGGUCGGUGUGGGACUAGUGUAGAUGGGGCAUGUUGGUCGGUGUGGGCGAGCGGCUCUGAACGGUCUGUCUCUGCGUUGUACUACCGGCUGUGUGUUCUAAUUAUGUUUUUUUAACCUUGAUUUCCU